ACCACGUAGCUACAAGGUGCUGGGGUCCCCACGCAAAACGAUAAAUAUUGAUAAAAUUCACGCCUUCCUCGUCCAAAGCUCUCGUCCUUCUCUUCUUUCGGAAUUCGUCGUCUGAGAGUUCGGGGUAUUGCACGCACUCCCGAUGGAUUGGAAAGGCCAGCAGCAAUCGCGGCGUCUGAUGUAUAUCAUGCCUGUGGUCUUUGCUGCAUCAGCAUUCAUCACUGGCUACUGCACUGGCUCGCACAUGGUGAUGUUACUCAUAUACACCACUGGCGUCAUUGUGACAGCGGCAAUCACUGUUCCAAACUGGUCAUUCUUCAACCAACAUCUGCUGAACUGGUUGGAUCCUGUCGAGGCUGAGCCUCAUCCAAAGCCACAACCCAUGAUUUCAAAGACGAGGCGGUCGUUCUCUAAGCGUCGUCGUUAGAGCAGGUCUUGGAUCAAAUGUUAAUAUUUAAUUUGGCUUUUGUUUCUUCCUUUCCUUUCUGCAGUUUUCGGAAUGAAGCAUUUGUGUUUAGUGCUUGGAAUUUAAUGCAGUUUUAAUAGUUAUCCACUACUUUUUAAGGCUAGUUCAUCUGGAAUUAGGAUUGCAA